rnacentral:piRNA from 1 species
UGAAAAUGAAGCAGUUCCAACUUGGCAAUG